rnacentral:lncRNA from 1 species
AACUGGUGCCCACCAAUGUCCUCUUGCUUCUGUUUCUGCUAUAAAAUGGGCUGAUCCGAGUGUUGGGAUUUUUUUUUUUUUUAGAUGGAGUCUUGCUCUGUUGCCCAAGCCCGAGUGCAGUGGUGAUCUUGGCUCACUGUAACCUCUGUCUCCUGGGUUCAAACAAUUCUCUGCGUCAGCCUCCUGAGUAGCUGGGAUUGCAGUGGCAGCCCCCACCCACAGCAGCUUCUGGCAGUGUCAGAGGAUGGUCAAACACAUCACGGGGUGGAGUGCCUUCUUCUCCUAUUACAGAUAUGGCUGCUACUGUGGGCUUGGGAGCAAAGGGAUCCCUGUGGAUGACACUGACAGCCACCUCUGGGUGCCAUGAAAGCAAGGACUACCUCUGCUUUUUCAGACAGCUGUCUCCUCCGAGACCAUCACAGUGCCCGGCUCAUGGUAGGUGCUCAGUCAAAAGUGUGAAAUGAAUGAAUGGACCUAGAUUUGUGUCCUGGGUCUAUCAUUUUCCAGCUGCCUAAGUUUGGGAAAUUGGCCUCUCGGAAUCUCAUUCCCUUCCCUACAAAAGGG